rnacentral:lncRNA from 1 species
AGCCUUUUCUGUACCUUGCUAGAAAGCUUGCUGGGUAAUGCUUAUAAAUCUAUUUCCUGUCUGCUUGAGUCGUAUGUACUGUUGACGUUCUGAACCUAAUUUCUGGUCCUUCUUGUAGGGAUGGUAAUCUUCACUUUGUGGAAUCACCUGCACUUGCUCCCCCAGAAGUACAAAUUGACUUAACUGCACAGGCACAGUAAGAUCUCCGUUCACUUUUGGUGCUUCUGCUAAUAUUGAAGUUUUAUGUGUUUUCAGAAUUGAGAACCAUCAGGAAGACAAUAAUACAGAUAAUCACUCUUUAAUAUGUAUAUCAGAGUUAAGAAUAUGAUCUGCCGGUACUCUUUUAACAUCUUAAUAUGUAUAUCAGAUUUAAAACCGACAAUUUUGAUCACGAAUAAUCCCUGUAUAGAGUACAAAUAAGUAUUAGGUACCUAUUAGGUUUAAGGCGGGGCCUGUUGCUUGUUUGUCUGUGAUGUGCAAGGUAUCUUGUGCUUGAAAUUGUGUUAUCUUUGUACGGUUUCUAAGUUUUUUCCAUACUGUUUAUCUUGUGCUUGAAAUUGUGUUCUCUUUGUAGGGUUUCUAAGUUUUUUCCAUACUGUUUAUUCAGGCAUGAAAGGGAGCUUGCUGAAGCCGCUAUCCAGCCACUUCCCGAUGAUGAUGAUGAAGUAUUUGAAUAGAAGGCCUAGCUCAGAGCUGAUCGGUUUCCCAGUUGCUCCUUUCCAUAUUCUUCGUCCUUAAAUUUUCUAUAUCCGGACUUCCUGUCUUUGUUGUUUGAGGAUUUGUUUGCUGCUUCCUUGUAUUACAAAUUGGUUAUUAGAUAUGUUUGUCUGAGACCAUGAGGCUGUGGUUUAGUAGGCUAGAUAGUGUUCUAUUCGGACUUGGCUCUGUUUGAGCCGUUUAUACUAUUACUGGCUUACAUAUUCGACAUUUUUUUCUUCCUUGAAGCUAUUUUAGUUUUUACAAAAGUGGUGGCAACUAGCUCAAACGGUAAUUGAUUCGAUAGAUUAUAUUUCUGUAUAGUUCAGCCUCAGCAAAAUGUGAAACGUGAAACAGAAUUUGAAGAUGCUAAACUGGUGAGGAGAGAGAGGAUACAAGGUAGAAAAAGAAACUCCUCGAGAGGCCAAAAUGAUCCAUUACCGAAAUGACUUAAAAAGUCUAUUUGUUAUAUGAAUUUGCUAGCUACUAUGUUUGGAGAGGCAAGUGGAGGUUGGUUAAUCUCCUAAUAAAUGAACCAAGUAAAUUCAUUUACUUGACAAAAGUAUGAUUCUUGAUCCUCAGUGCCCUGAUUGUUAAGCUAAAUUUUGGAUAUCUGGAGUUUCACAUUACUAAUCUAUCAGUGUUAACAUGUUCAACUGAGCCAAAGACAAUGAAUUGGGGUGCUCCAAGGAGACCAGCACCUUGGCAAAUGGAAAGUUAAAAAGGCCAAAAUGAUCCCUUAAGCAUACAGAAAUCACUUAAUUGUCUGUUUGUUAUAUGAAUUUGACAGCUUAUGAUAGGAGAGUUCAUUUGUUUCACUAGACAUUAUACUACUUCUCCCUCCCAUAUUAGUUGGACACAUUUUAUUUCACACGGUAAUUACGAAAUAAAAAGUAAUUUUACUAUUUCAUUCGUAAAAGAACUUCCUGAAAAUUUUAUAAACAAGUGUGAACACUUUCAAAAAGCACUAAUUGCAAUGGUAAUACGAGAAGAUUUUAAUUAAUGCUUUCUUGAUUUAAUAAAGUGACUAACUAAUACAAGACAACUAUUUUAGUAAAAUGACCAAUUAAUAAGGGGUGGAGGGAGUACUGUCUAUUUUUGAGUUGAGGGUGUAUCAAAAACAACUUCUCUACUUCUCAAACAAUAGUAUGGUCUACGUAUAUUUUACCCUUCCAAACCUCAAUUUGUGAGAUUACACUGGAUAUGUCGUUGUUGAUGCAAGGGGAAGAAAGUAUUUGUUUUUUACUUCUUCCAACUUGACUUACAUAAAAUGACUAUUGUUUAGGUAUUUAUAGAACUUUGCUACCAUAUACCUAGUCUAGUUUAGUGCUCCAAUAUGUACCUAGUCUAGUACAUAUACCACAAUUUAGUUGUGGAUAAAGCAAUACAUGCAUCAUACCAACAUGGGUUGUGGUACAGCGAAUGAGGUUGGUCCAUCCUUAAUUCGAUUCUGGACAUGGAGAAAACUCUGUUGGGAGCGCUAUCCCCAAAUGGGGCCCCUACCCGGCACGAAUCCGGAUUAAUCAGGCUUCAAUGCAGGUACCGAAUACCGAAUGAGAAAUAAAAAAAAAAAAUACAUGGAUCAUAGUGUUUAUAUCCUAACACAUGAACUAAAUAAAUUCAUGUACUUCACAUGAAUCUACUUUAUUUUUCAACAAAAAUAUUCUCACUGAUCAAAUGGUAGGACUAUCAAUGUUAACAUGUUCAAGUGAACUAACAAUAAAUGCACUUUGAGAAACACAUGAAAUGCUUCUUGUUGGUAUAGAAAAUUGGGUGACAUUUGUGGAAAACAAUAUGUAAUUUUUUUUCCCCAUAAUUAAGGAAUUUUAUUGCAAAAGUGAUAUUUACGACUCAAAAUUAGUUUAUCCUACGCUUGGUUAUGAAUAUUUAUUUGCCUCGAAAUUAUUUUAUCUCACUAUUCGUAUGGUGAGAUUAGCAAAUCUCAUGAGACAUCCUUGUCUAUCCGAUCCCUCAUAUCAAACUACUUCUUGAAGAUAAAAACUUAGUUGUUCUAGUCUUCUUGCUAAUAAAAUACUUUGUCAAUUAUUUUCAAUUCGUUUGCGAUAAAUACUACGUGAAAUAAAUAACAAUAACACUAAAGUACAUUUAAAAUUUUCUGUUAAUAAUUCCGGGUACUCAUUCCACCAAUUAAAUGAAUCGGAGAUAAUUCCUAUGUACGUGAAUAAAUAUGAUAGUCGAUGCCUUUCUAAAUGUGGUCGAACCAUGGAUUACUCGAAAAUCAAUCUCUAUAUAUUAAUUAAUUUGUAAAUAUUAGUUUAGGAAACUUACAUGUUUCUCCAUAUAUAGCAUAAGCAAAUUUGCACCAACCACGACUCACGCUAUCGAUCAUUGGGAUGAACUCUCUCUGUCCACAACCUAGAUAUUCUUUAGAGAUAAGACUGUUAAGUGGGCUGGACCGGGGUUAACCCGGAACUAGCCCAUUAAGUUUAGACGGGUUGUGGGCCGGGCCGAGUUGUAGUUAAGUGGGUCGGGUCCGGGUUGAACAGUAAAAUUUUUAAAAACAACCCUUAACUGGCCCACUUGCCCCAAUCCGGUCUAACCUACCUAAAUCCGGUCAAAAAAAUAAAAAUAAAAAAAUCAAUAUACACUAAAUAUACCCACCUAUAUACAUUUUAAAUACGUUAAACAAUAUAUAUACACUAUAUAUAUAGUGUUUAUUACAUUAGAAUUUAAAAAAUAUAUACACAAUUACACAUAUAUAUGUAACAUUCAAUAUAUACAACUAUACGUACUACUUUAAAUAAAACAUAUACUAUAAUAUAUAAUAUACGCACCAUUCAAUAUAUAUGUACUGCUUUAAAUAAAAUAUAUACUACAAUAUACAUAUAUAUAUACAACAAUAUGUGUGUAUAUAUAGUUACAUACUAAUUUAUAGAACAUAUACACUUGUAUACGUUAGAGAUAUACGUCUAUAGGAGAUAUAUACACAUAUGUACGCAUCAUUCAAUAUAGAUGUACUACUUUAAAUAAAACAUAUACUGCAAUAUAUAUAUAUAUAGUUAUAUACUAGUUUAUAAAACAUAUACACAUGUAUACGUUAAAUAUAUACGCCAAUAGAAGAUAUAUACACAUAUAUACGUACCAUUCAAUAUAUACGUACUACUUUAAAUAAAAUAUACUACAAUAUAUACACACACUAUAUAUAUAGUUAUAUACUAGUUUAUAAAACAUAUACACAUGUAUACGUUAAAUAUAUACGCCAAUAGAAGAUAUAUACACAUAUAUACGUACCAUUCAAUAUAUACGUACUACUUUAAAUAAAAUAUACUACAAUAUAUACACACACUAUAUAUAUAGUUAUAUACUAGUUUAUAAAACAUAUACACAUGUAUACGUUAAAUAUAUACGCCAAUAGAAGAUAUAUACACAUAUAUACGUACCAUUCAAUAUAUACGUAUUACUUCACACACACUAUCUAUAGUUACAUACUAAUUUAUAAAACAUAUACACAUGUAUAAGUUAAAUAUAUACGUCUAUCGAAGAUAUAGACAUAUAUCAUUCAAUAUAUACGUACUACUUUAAAUAAAAUAUACGAGGAAUAGGACAGAGGCAUUGUGUUUGGGGAGUUGGAGCGCUCGGAGGUGAGCCGUGAUUUUAGUUACUGGAGACGUUUUAAGGUUGAGGAGGUCAGAGAGGCUAUUCGUUGAAUGCGGAGGAUUAGGGCGAUGGGGCCCGAUGAGAUUCCGGUGGAUUUUUGGAAGUAUGCUAGUGGGGCAGGCUUAAGGUGGCUGACUGAUUUGUUCAACGCUAUUUUCACGACUGUGAGAAUGCCUGAGGCUUGGAGAUGGAUUACGAUGAUUUCUUUGUAUAAAAACAAGGGUAGCAUUCAGAGUUGCAAUAACUAUAGGGGAAUUAAGCUGUUGAGUCACACAAUGAAGAUUUGGGAGAGGGUGGUUGAGCGGAGAUUGAGGAGGGUCGUGUCCAUUUCAGAGAAUCAGUUUGGUUUUAUGCCUGGUCUCUCGACGAUAGAGGCAAUUCACUUGGUGAUAAGAUUGGUGGAGCAGUAUAGGAAAAGGAAGAGGGAUUUGCACAUGGUGUUCAUCGAUCUGGAGAAGGCGUAUGACAGAGUACCUAGGGAGGUUUUUUGGAGAUGCUUGGAGGUGAGAGGAGUGUAGGUGGCGUACAUCAGAGCUAUUAAAGAUAUGUAUGAUGGAUGGAAGACUCGGGUGAGGACGGCGGGAGGAGACUCAGGGCAUUUUUCGGUAGAGACAGGUUUGUACCAGGGAUCGACACUCAACCCUUUCCUUUUUGUGUUGGUGAUGUACGUAUUGACGCGGAGUAUUCAAGGUGAGGUGCCGUGGUGUAUGUUAUUUGCGGAUGAUUUAGUGCUGAUUGAUGAGACGCGGGCGGGGGGGAUGAGAAAUUGGAGGUUUAGAGGCAAACUUUGUAAUCUAAGGGGUCCAGGUUGAGUAGGUCCAAGACGGAGUAUUUGGAGAGCAAGCUCGGUGACUCGAGUCAAGAGGACGGUGUGGUGGUGAGGUUGGACUCUCAGGAUAUUUGUAAGAAGAGUAGUUUUAAGUAUCUUGGGUCUAUGAUUCAGGUGGAUGGCGAGAUUGAAGAGGAUAUCUCUAAGCGUAUUGGAGCAGGUUGGAUGAAGUGAAGGCUCGCCUCGGGAGUGUUAUGUGAUAGGAAGGUGCCCCUUAAGCUUAAAGACAAAUUCUACAGAGUGGCAGUCCGUCCGGCCAUACUAUAUGGAGCUGAAUGUUGGCCAGCCAAGAACUCCCAUAUCCAAAGAUUGAAGGUGGCAGAAAUAAGGAUGUUGCGUUGGAUGUGUAGUCUCACUAUGGGGGAUAGAGUCAGGAAUGAGAUUAUCCCAAAGAAGGUAGGAGUAGCUUCGGUGGAGGACAAGAUGAGAGAAGGCAGGUUGAGAUGGUUUGGGCAUGUGAUGAGGAGGAGCACGGAUGCCUCUGUUCGGAGGUGUAAGAGACUAGCUUUAGAUGACUUCAGGAGGGGUAGAGGUAGGCCAAAAAAAUAUUGAAGGGAAGUGAUUAGGCAUGAUAUGGAGCAACUGCAGCUUACUGAGGACAUCACCCUAGACAGGAAGGUAUGGAGGUCGCGGAUUAGGGUUGAAGGCUAGUAUGAGUGUGUGGGUUGUGGCUAGGUGUUAGGAGAGUAUGGGGGUGGUAGUCCUCUUAGGUCUGUGAGUGUAUUGUUUACUACUAGGAGAGUAUCCGUUUCCUAUUUCUUAUUUCGUAUUGCUUGUACUUUACUUAUUUUGUAUUUCCUUGAUAUUUGUUGUUAUUAUUUUAUUGCUUAUUUCUGUUGUGUUAUACAUCCUGUUUCGAGUUGCAUUAUGACCUUGCUAUACUAUUCUCUCUCUUGAGCCAGGGGUCUAUUAGAAACAGCCUCUCUACUUUUUCGGAGGUAGCGGUAUAGACUGCGUACAUUUCACCCUCCCCAGACCUCACUGUGUGGGAAUAUACUGGGUUGUUGUUGUUGUUGUAUAUAUAUAGUUAUACACUAAUUUAUAAAACAUAUACACAUGAAUACGUUAAAUAUAUACGUCAAUAGAAGAUAUAUACACAUAUAUACGUACUAAUUUAAAUAAAAUAUACUACAAUAUAUAUACAACAAUAUAUACAUACACUAUAUAUAUAGUUAUAUACUAAUUUAUAAAAUAUAUACACAUGUAUACGUUAAAUAUAUACGUCUAUAGAAGAUAUAUACACAUAUAUACAUAUCAUUCAAUAUAUACGUACUACUUUAAAUAAAAUAUACUACAAUAUAUGCACGCACUAUAUAUAUAGUUAUACACUAAUUUAUAAAACAUAUACACAUGUAUAUGUUAAAUAUAUACAUUUAUAGAAGAUAUAUACACAUAUAUACGUACCAUUCAAUAUAUACUUACUACUUGAAAUAAAACAUACUACAAUAUAUACACGCACUAUAUAUAUAGUUAUACACUAAUUUAUAAAACAUAUACACAUGUAUACGUUAAAUAUAUAGUACCAUUCAAUAUAUACGUACACAUAUAAAAUAUAUACUUCUUUAAAUAAAACAUAUGUUACCUAAUAUAAUAAAUUAAUAAUACUUUAUAGUAAAUUAGUUCGUUUGUUUAUUUAAAAAAAAUAAUAAUCGGGCCGGUUUUGGGCCGGUUAAUCAACGGGCCUGGAUCGGAUUUGAUACGGAUCCAAAACCAAAAAUAAAUCGGUUCGGGACCUAGUACCCUACAACCCAUGGGCUGAUCGGACCUUGUUAAACCGGACCGAUUUUCUAAGUGGAGCGGGCUGGGCCGGGUCAAUUCGGCCCGUUUGACAAGUAUAUUUAGAGAUGUAGAGUAUUUUACUAAUUCUAGCCGUUAUCUAAUGUGGAAAAUGAUUUUUUCUACACCCAUGAUGACAGAUUUAUAUAAUAGGGUUAGGGUUAAGAGGAAGGACAAACUAAUGGGCUAACAGGUUAAUUAACGCUCAUUGUGAGUGGAUCGGACUCAAUAGGCUAACGUGAUUAACACUUCUUAAAGUGGAUCCGGGCCAAUAAAUAUUCUGAACAAAUUUCUUUUUUUGUCGUCGUCUUGAUCGUGAGCAUUUAAUUUGAAGCGGGACUAAAAAUAUUUAAGGAAUUAAUUUCAUUUCGUUUAUGAUGAAUGAUAGAAAAACAAAUAGAAACGACAUUGAAGUGUAUCUAAAACUUUCUUUUUACACUAUGGAUUCACUUUGAAUUCAUCUCUUUUUUAAUUGUCAUCUUGAUGAUCAUAAACAUUUCAUCUGAAGUGAAACUAAGAGCAUUUAUGAAAUUAAUUAUAAUAUUUUUGUGAUAAAUAAUGCAAAAACAAAUACAAAUAUCAUUUACAUAAAUCAAGUUAAGUUAAUCUAGAUCUUAUAGGUCACAAUAUAUGGCAAUUUUCUAUAGUAAACAAUUAUGACUAAUUGUCUACCAAUAAUCAAAUCAACAUUUCACAUCAUCAUUCAACUAGUUUAGUACGUAAAAUUACUUAGAAACUGGAAAUUAAUCAAAAUACAAUUAAAUUUCUCUAUUUGCAUAUUUUUAUUUAUAACAAUUUAAUUAGAUCUAAACAUCAUAUGUCAGUAUACAUAAUGCAUAUAUAACAAAUCUACUAUAGAAAUCAUAAAACUUUUAGAUAAACACCAUCACUUUAGAAAUGUUUAAUUAUAAUUAUCUUUUUCACUCAAUGUUUUAUGUAAUUUGUAAUGCAACAAGGAACACUAAAUGCACGGAGAAAAAAGUAUUAGGUGAUUUCUUCUCAUCUAUCCUAACUUUGGUGGAUAGAGUUAUCUGAUACUACUAUUGCUGGUGGAAGGUGAAAGAUAUUCCAUACAACUAGUUGAGGUGCACGAAUAGUGCAGAUCCAGAAUUUUUAUUGAGGGGUUAGCAAGUAAACAUACGAACUAACCGAAAGGGUUCAACAUUAUAUAUACAUAAAAAAUAUUUUAAUCAUAUAAAAAUAGUAUAAUUUUUCGUCGAACCCCGACCCCCUGAAUGAAAGAUGGCUCUGCCUCUAUACGCAAAAACUGACCUGGAUACCACCAGGGACACUAAGUGCGCAGAGACAAAAGUACUAGGUGAUUUUCCCCAUCUAUUCUAGCCUUGACGGAAAGAAUUAUCUAAUACCUAUUGGUGGUGGAAGGUGACAGAUAUUCUAUAUAAUUAGUUGAGGUGUGCGAAAACUUAUCCGGAUACCACAUUUAUUUAAAAAAAACACUAAACCUAAAGUGGAUCCAGGUACAAUAUACUUCCUUUGUCCCAUUUUACUCGUUCCAAUUUAACAUUGCACAUUAAUUAAGAAAAAUAAUUGAUAACAUGUCUACUUUACCAUAGUACUCUUAGGAGAUAAAAUAAUUUACUAAGAAUAAAAUAAAAAAUUAUCUUCUUUUGAUUAGUAAAAAAUAAUAAGUAAAAUAAAAAAUUAAAUUUAAAAAUUUCGAACGAGUAAAAUGGAUGGAGGGAGUGUUAGCUUACAACUUACAAAAGUCAUUACACACACAAAUAUAGACAAAAUUUUCUUUUAAAAAAAUUCCUUUAUUUGAUUUCCGACACAAAAUUUGAAAUUCAAUAUUUUUUGGUAUCUUCUAGAAUAAUAAAACAAAAAUAAAAAAAUAAAACAAAAAGUUAGCGGAAAAAUUAAGUCCAAAAAAAAGUAGCGUCAGUCUAAAGCAAAUAUUCCCAAUUUAUAAACCCCCUUACUUCCCAUUUCCCUUUUCAUUCUCUCGCAAAAUAAACCCUAGCCGUCUCUUCGAUAAUUUGCGGCGCUUUUUUCUCCUCCUUUGUUCAAUAUGGUGCGUAUAAAUUUUCAAUUUUUAUGAUGUGAUUUAUAUGAAUUGUUUUUUUUUUUUUUUUGUAUUUUAUGAUCUUAUUGUUCUUUAGAAUUGUAGUGAUAAUCUUUUAAUUUAUUUAUUUGUGGUUAGAACAACAAUUGAAUAGCUAUUGAGUAAUUGUAAUUGUAAUUUGCCAGUAUAUGGGAGGAGAUUAGAGUUUGAAUGAGUUAUUAUUCUGGCACUUUUUAUUUUUAUUUUUGGUUUGGCGUUGGAUAGCAGAAUUUUUUUUAGUACUUAAGAUGAAUCCAGAGGUACAAGAUCUUAGUGGAGACAAAAAACACUAGGUGAUUCUUUUUAAUUUGUUCUAGAACCUAACCUAGGUGGACUGACAGAUGGGUAGGUAUUCCCGUGGAUUUAGUCAAGGUGAGCAAAAGCUGAGCUGGACGGCAAGCCUAGAUGGACUGACAGAUGGUAGAUAUGCCGUGGAUUUAGUUGGGGUGGGUGAAAACUGAGCCGUACAGGAAGGCUAGGUGGACUGACAGAUGGUAGGUAUUCCCGUGGAUUUAAUGGAGGUGAGCGAAAGCUGAGCUGGACAGCAAGCCUAGGUGGAUUGACAGAUGGUAGGUAUCCCGUGGAUUUAGUGGAGGUGAGAGAAGGCGGAGCCAGACAGCAAGCCUAAGUGGAUUGACAAGAUGGUAGGUAUCCCGUGGAUUUAGUCGAGGUGAGUGAAAGUUGUGCCGGACAAGAAGCCUAGGUGGACUGACAGAUAGUAGGUAUUCCGUGGAUUUAGUCGAGGUGAACGAAAGCUGAGCUGGAAAGCACAGUUAUCAAAAGGAAAAGAGGAAACUGAGGUACUUGAAAGGUAAAAGCCCUUUACCAAAGCCUAGUUUAUUAAAAGGAACCCAAUGUUGUAUGGAAACAGAUGUAUCAUUUGAGAAAGUAAAUAGAACAUCUUUUGCUUGUUGGUAAUCAAUCUUGAUAGCUUUGAGAAACCAAGGAAACAGUCGAACAUUUAGAAUUGAGGGUUAUCCCCUUUGAAAAACAAUUGUUGGAUUGAAUCAACUCUAGCUUAUUGCCCUCUUGCAAAGCCAAAGAACUCGUUUUUCAAUCCAUAUGGCCAAAAAAGGUUAGUAGGUCAUCCCCCAUUCAACCAGUAAACCCUUUCUUUUAGUCGGGUAAAGACUCUCGGUUUAACAGUUUAUUUUGGUUAUUAUAAAAAUGAGUUGAGAAUGCCUCUAAAGUUUCCAAUUAAUUAAAAGGGGACUAGUGGGUCCGCAACUGUUCAGCUUUCCAACACCCUGUACAGUUGUCGAACAACUUCUAUGGUUGUGGGACAACUCCUGUUAUUGUUAAGAUAACUUCUAUAGUUGUUGGGGUGAAAGUAUAAAAAUAAAAAGCUGAAAAAAAUGUCACUUUUACCUAAUUUUUUGAACUUGAAGGAACCCCACUUAAUGACAAACUUAUUUGUCACUUUUAAUUUGCCUCCCUUGGUUAUUUGGUCAUUUCCAGUAACCUAGUAGAUCCACUAAAUCUUUUUAAGAACGGAGCUUUGAAAGCUGCAAAACUAGUAACCUUAGCCCCCGAACUCAAUCUAUGGCCCUCUCAAGGUUAGGGGACUCAAAAGCGCGUUGUGAGUGGUGCAGUUUAUGAUGCCUCCAAGGCAUCUGCCUAUGCUUACCCUUCCAUGUAAUAAAAAGUACUCCAUGCUUUUUUAUCAGCUUUGCUAACGAAUGCACAUUCGACGAAUCCUAUAUCCUCCAAGACGACUGCUACAGUUGUAUUGAUUUUUGCAAUUUAUGGUACAGGGUCACCCCACUUUGUCUUUUCAGCCUUAUUUCCUUUCUCAACUCCUUUCUGAUUUUAUGUUGGUAGUUGCUUAUCACUCCAUUGUUGCUUAUUCAUAGCCUGUUGAUUUUCCGGCCCUUUCUUCUCUUUCAAGCAGUCAUGACCUAGCAAACAAGAGAUGCAAUAAAGUGUUUGCCAGUUGUAGUGAAUAGGUUGAGUAAACUCUCUACCAUUGGGAUCCAAGACUUUUGAGAGAUUUAGACAAGGCCUUGAUGACAUCCAUGUGAUAUUAUUCCAUUCUUGUAGUACAGUCAUCGACAUGUAAAGGAUUCCUCAAUCCACUCCCAAUCAACAGUUAAGAGGAAGGUUAGUUAGCUUAACAGAUGGGGUAGUCUUGAGUACCUCAUUAGCAUAAUUGAAGUGUGCAUUAUCCAUUCUUUAAUGAAAAUAGGACUAUUAUUGAUCAUUUGCACCAUUUUUGGCGAAUCCGACACGGGUGCGGCAUCAAAAGUGAAGAGUCCGCGCAACGUAGCAGGUUACAAAACUUUUUUCCUGUCUUCUAAGUUAGUGAACUUUACCAUGAAAUUAUCUCUCUUUGUGAUAGGUUUUUUUGGGUUUGACAAUUUGGUUCCUGUCAUCCACUUUUUGCUUUCUUUUUCAACAUCACCCUUUUAAAAAUCCGGCAAUCUUAUCCCCAUUUUGAAACUUAGGAGCAUCAUAGGUGAGGCCCAUAGCUCGAUCAACCCAGCUUAUCCCCAACUAAGCGUUUGGAUCACGAGUUUGCCCUUUGCAGCUUCACCAUGCCUUGGAAUUCUCUGCUGUCAGGGCAUCCUUACUUUCCAAAUCCAUUUGAUUAGCCGUUAAGUCCCCAGUUAACAGUGGAUUCCCCAUCUCUCUGACUGCUUGUCCCCAACUACCACUUCGACUUGGUAGUUAGGUCCAUUGUUCUGUCCCUUACUAUUUUUUGUAGCCUUGUUCUUGCAUCAUGCGCCUAGAGAAGAAGAAAAGAGAAUUUUCCAUACAAGCACUUUAUUAGAUAACUAAAGAUUUGACGCUAGAUGAUUGAUCAAUUUCGUUGAACUUGGCGCGUUAAAGGAUUUUUUUAAUGAUAGUUGAUCUUCCGAAUAUGGAUGAGCUUUAAAAUCAGCACUAAAUAGUUAGAGAUUUAGGUUUUUAUACGAUAUUUUGUCAAUUUUUUUUUUCUUUUCUUCCAUUUUAGAAGUUUCUGGAUGAGCUUUUGAAGAUUUAAACGAUCUUAUUCUCUGCAGCUGGUAGAUUUGUUUUAUUAUCUAUAAGACUUAAAUUAAUUGGAUUUUAUAGUCUGAAUACAACAGAAUUUUUAUACCUGCACAUUAUUUAUCAGUAUCAAAUGAAAUUGAUCGUAAUGUUGAUGCAUAUUUUCAAGAAGUUCCUUUUCUUGUCUUAGACGUUGGAUUUAACUUUUUUUCGGAUGAGUUUUUGGAGAUGUAGAUGAGUUUUGUAGAGCUGCGAACCAUUUAUCACUAUUGGAAUGGAAUAAAUCCUAAUAGUUUGAGAUUGAUGUGCUUAUUUGCUUGUUGAUUUGUCUUUUUUGUCCAAUUGCUCCUUUUUAUGCUUCUUAGAAUUUUGUUUUUAACUUUGAUUGGGACGAGUUUAGUUUUCUGACAUGUGAUUAGGGUUGGAUUGUUUAAUUCCUUUGACUGAUUUUGUGUGGUGGUGUUUGUGAAUUUAUUUACAGGCUCUACCAAAUCAACAAACUGUAGAUUAUCCGAGUUUCAAGCUUGUUAUUGUGGGCGAUGGAGGAACUGGUAUGUUUUAUGCUUAGCUGGGUUUCACUUGUAGCAUCUUUUGUAUCAAAGAGAAUUUCAAUAACAAAUUUUGAUUAAAACAACUGUAUUUUGUUUUGAUUUCUUCAAACAUACGAAAAAAACAUAAUGGUUUUUAAAUAUGAAAAUUAUUUCAAAGAGUUAAGUAAUCAUGUCUGAGUUUACACCAAAACUUUCUGGGAUAGUUGCUAUUUGUAGCCAAUCCAAUCUUUAUUAGUGGCUUGCUCCCUUUUGUUGGAGUACCCUAAUGGUUCCUGCUGUUAUUGAAUUUCCAGGGAAGACAACUUUUGUCAAAAGGCAUCUCACUGGUGAAUUUGAGAAAAAAUACGAACGUAAGUUUCUGUUUCCCUGUGCUUGCCAGAACAAGUCUUUUGAUAAUUUCGGUCAUUAUCCUGUUCAAUAGACUCGCUAUGUUUCUUAUGAGUCGAUUAUUUAUUAAAUUUCGUUUUCAUACAGCCACUAUUGGUGUGGAGGUUCAUCCACUAGACUUCUUCACAAAUUGUGGGAAAAUUCGCUUUUAUUGCUGGGAUACAGCUGGACAAGAGAAGUUUGGAGGGCUCCGAGAUGGUUACUAGUGAGUGAUUCUAGACAAUAACUUUUUAGUUUCUGCAAGGCUCUGCUGCUCGAUGGAUGUUGUUUCUGAUUUAAAAGCUUAGACUGUCAAAUCUUUAGAGUUAAAUGUGUAAAAAGUUCCAAGUUUCCAGAGUAGAGAAAUAUCUAUAUUAGGUAUAGUGGUUUGUUCUGAUUGUGAAGAAUAGUUGAUACCAUGUGUUCUACAGCAGAUGCCAAUAUUGGUAUUUCUACAAUGUGGGGUAUCUCAGGUUGUUGUAUCUGAGGUGACAGUAAUUGUGCUCACACUUGCGUCUCUUUUGAGCUCAGAUAUAAUAUUCGAACAUGUUACUUGCUGUUCUUUUUUUUUCUGUCAGACACUUGGAUGACUGUUUUGCCAUUAGUUGUCUUUGCUUGGAGUGUUUGGUGUUCUGUAUUUUUGGCUCUCAUAUUUCUCUAUGUUAUUUGUGCAGCAUUCAUGGGCAAUGUGCAAUUAUCAUGUUUGAUGUAACGGCCCGUUUGACCUACAAGAAUGUUCCUACGUGGCAUAGAGAUCUUUGCAGGUGAGAAAUUCUUCACAGGCUCUACUAAUAAUUGAUGAUGUAUGCAAUUGAAUCUGAAAUGCCUUCCCCACUGCUUCUUCCAGGGUUUGUGAAAACAUCCCCAUUGUUCUCUGUGGAAACAAAGUGGAUGUCAAGAACAGGCAGGUUAAGGCAAAGCAAGUGACCUUCCACAGGAAGAAAAAUUUGCAGUACUAUGAGAUCUCGGCAAAGAGUAACUACAACUUUGAGAAGCCUUUUCUGUACCUUGCUAGAAAGCUUGCUGGGUAAUGCUUUUAAAUAUAAAUCUAUUUCCCAUCUGCUUGAGUCAUAUGUACCCUUGAUGUUCUGAACCUAAUUUCUUGUCCUUCUUGUAGGGAUGGAAAUCUUCACUUUGUGGAAUCACCUGCACUUGCUCCCCCAG